rnacentral:ribozyme from 14 species
GGAAAGAUAGAUGGAUAGAUAGAUGUUGUUCCCUUUUUCUCUUUCUUUUCCUUGCUUCUUUAUUCGUUGGUGUUUCAAACUCAAAUGUGUGGCAUGUUGACAAAAAAAGAAAGAAA